GGUCAAGUGAAGAAGCGCAUACGGUGGAUGCCUUGGCAGUCAGAGGCGAUGAAAGACGUGGUAGCCUGCGAAAAGCUUCGGGGAGUCGGCAAACAGACUGUGAUCCGGAGAUGUCUGAAUGGGGGAACCCAGCCAUCAUAAGAUGGUUAUCUUGUACUGAAUACAUAGGUGCAAGAGGCGAACCAGGGGAACUGAAACAUCUAAGUACCCUGAGGAAAAGAAAUCAACCGAGAUUCCCUUAGUAGUGGCGAGCGAACGGGGACCAGCCCUUAAGUUGUAUUGAGAUUAGCGGAACGUUCUGGAAAGGACGGCCAUAGUGGGUGAUAGCCCUGUACGCGAAAAUCCCUUUGCAAUGAAAUCGAGUAGGACGGGGCACGAGAAACCUUGUCUGAAUAUGGGGGGACCAUCCUCCAAGGCUAAAUACUACUGACUGACCGAUAGUGAACCAGUACCGUGAGGGAAAGGCGAAAAGAACCGCGGAGAGCGGAGUGAAAUAGAUCCUGAAACCGUAUGCGUACAAGCAGUGGGAGCCCACUUGUUGGGUGACUGCGUACCUUUUGUAUAAUGGGUCAGCGACUUAUUUUCAGUGGCGAGCUUAACCGAAUAGGGGAGGCGUAGCGAAAGCGAGUCUUAAUAGGGCGUCUAGUCGCUGGGAAUAGACCCGAAACCGGGCGAUCUAUCCAUGGGCAGGUUGAAGGUUGGGUAACACUAACUGGAGGACCGAACCGACUACCGUUGAAAAGUUAGCGGAUGACCUGUGGAUCGGAGUGAAAGGCUAAUCAAGCUCGGAGAUAGCUGGUUCUCCUCGAAAGCUAUUUAGGUAGCGCCUCAUGUAUCACUGUAGGGGGUAGAGCACUGUUUCGGCUAGGGGGUCAUCCCGACUUACCAAACCGAUGCAAACUCCGAAUACCUACAAGUGCCGAGCAUGGGAGACACACGGCGGGUGCUAACGUCCGUCGUGAAAAGGGAAACAACCCAGACCGUCAGCUAAGGUCCCAAAGUCAUGGUUAAGUGGGAAACGAUGUGGGAAGGCUUAGACAGCUAGGAGGUUGGCUUAGAAGCAGCCACCCUUUAAAGAAAGCGUAAUAGCUCACUAGUCGAGUCGGCCUGCGCGGAAGAUGUAACGGGGCUCAAACCAUGCACCGAAGCUACGGGUAUCAUCUUUUGAUGAUGCGGUAGAGGAGCGUUCUGUAAGCCUGUGAAGGUGAGUUGAGAAGCUUGCUGGAGGUAUCAGAAGUGCGAAUGCUGACAUGAGUAACGACAAUGGGUGUGAAAAACACCCACGCCGAAAGACCAAGGUUUCCUGCGCAACGUUAAUCGACGCAGGGUUAGUCGGUCCCUAAGGCGAGGCUGAAAAGCGUAGUCGAUGGAAAACAGGUUAAUAUUCCUGUACUUCUGGUUAUUGCGAUGGAGGGACGGAGAAGGCUAGGCCAGCCUGGCGUUGGUUGUCCAGGUUUAAGGUGGUAGGCUGAGAUCUUAGGUAAAUCCGGGAUCUUAAGGCCGAGAGCUGAUGACGAGUGUUCUUUUAGAACACGAAGUGGUUGAUGCCAUGCUUCCAAGAAAAGCUUCUAAGCUUCAGGUAACCAGGAACCGUACCCCAAACCGACACAGGUGGUUGGGUAGAGAAUACCAAGGCGCUUGAGAGAACUCGGGUGAAGGAACUAGGCAAAAUGGCACCGUAACUUCGGGAGAAGGUGCGCCGGUGGAGGUGAAGCAUUUACUGCGUAAGCCCCUGCCGGUCGAAGAUACCAGGCCGCUGCGACUGUUUAUUAAAAACACAGCACUCUGCAAACACGAAAGUGGACGUAUAGGGUGUGACGCCUGCCCGGUGCCGGAAGGUUAAUUGAUGGGGUUAGCGCAAGCGAAGCUCUUGAUCGAAGCCCCGGUAAACGGCGGCCGUAACUAUAACGGUCCUAAGGUAGCGAAAUUCCUUGUCGGGUAAGUUCCGACCUGCACGAAUGGCGUAACGAUGGCGGCGCUGUCUCCACCCGAGACUCAGUGAAAUUGAAAUCGCUGUGAAGAUGCAGUGUAUCCGCGGCUAGACGGAAAGACCCCGUGAACCUUUACUAUAGCUUUGCACUGGACUUUGAAUUUGCUUGUGUAGGAUAGGUGGGAGGCUUUGAAGCGUGGACGCCAGUCUGCGUGGAGCCAACCUUGAAAUACCACCCUGGCAACUUUGAGGUUCUAACUCAGGUCCGUUAUCCGGAUCGAGGACAGUGUAUGGUGGGUAGUUUGACUGGGGCGGUCUCCUCCUAAAGAGUAACGGAGGAGUACGAAGGUGCGCUCAGACCGGUCGGAAAUCGGUCGUAGAGUAUAAAGGCAAAAGCGCGCUUGACUGCGAGACAGACACGUCGAGCAGGUACGAAAGUAGGUCUUAGUGAUCCGGUGGUUCUGUAUGGAAGGGCCAUCGCUCAACGGAUAAAAGGUACUCCGGGGAUAACAGGCUGAUACCGCCCAAGAGUUCAUAUCGACGGCGGUGUUUGGCACCUCGAUGUCGGCUCAUCACAUCCUGGGGCUGAAGCCGGUCCCAAGGGUAUGGCUGUUCGCCAUUUAAAGUGGUACGCGAGCUGGGUUUAGAACGUCGUGAGACAGUUCGGUCCCUAUCUGCCGUGGACGUUUGAGAUUUGAGAGGGGCUGCUCCUAGUACGAGAGGACCGGAGUGGACGAACCUCUGGUGUUCCGGUUGUCACGCCAGUGGCAUUGCCGGGUAGCUAUGUUCGGAAAAGAUAACCGCUGAAAGCAUCUAAGCGGGAAACUUGCCUCAAGAUGAGAUCUCACUGGAACCUUGAGUUCCCUAAAGGGCCGUCGAAGACUACGACGUUGAUAGGUUGGGUGUGUAAGCGCUGUGAGGCGUUGAGCUAACCAAUACUAAUUGCCCGUGAGGCUUGACCAU
rnacentral:rRNA from 3 species